rnacentral:rRNA from 1 species
ACGGAGGGUGCGAGCGUUAUUCGGAAUUACUGGGCGUAAAGCGCGUGUAGGCGGUGGGGCAAGUCUGAUGUGAAAGCCCCGGGCUUAACCCGGGAAGGGCCUUGGAAACUGUCUAUCUUGAGUGCUGGAGAGGAAGGGGGAAUUCCCGGUGUAGAGGUGAAAUGCGUAGAUAUUGGGAGGAAUACCAGUGGCGAAGGCGCCCUACUGGACGGUAACUGACGCUGAGACGCGAAAGCGUGGGGAGCAAACAG